AGCCAGCAAGAUUCAGACAAAAAUUUAAUUUAUGCCAUUCCAAUGCCCCAAAUGUAAACAAAUAAUGGCUUUGGUUUGUGAUAUAAGCAUCUUGUUCAGCAGGAUUUGUCAAUAAUGAUAGGAAUUCAAACCAAAUUCAAUCCUAGAAAAGUCACUAUUUGAAGAAAAGUCCUAAACACAAAAAUAUUAAUGAGGAAACACCACUUCUCACAACUAUGCAAAAAAUAUCAUGUGCAUAA
rnacentral:misc_RNA from 1 species